AUUGAACGCUGGCGGCAGGCCUAACACAUGCAAGUCGAACGAGUGGCGGACGGGUGAGUAAUGUCUGGGAAACUGCCUGAUGGAGGGGGAUAACUACUGGAAACGGUAGCUAAUACCGCAUACCAUCGGAUGUGCCCAGAUGGGAUUAGCUAGUAGGUGGGGUAAAGGCUCACCUAGGCGACGAUCCCUAGCUGGUCUGAGAGGAUGACCAACCACACUGGAACUGAGACACGGUCCAGACGCCUACGGGAGGCAGCAGUGGCAAACAUUCCACAAUAGGGGCAAGCAUGAUGCAGUCAUGCCGCGUGUAUGAAGAAGGCCUUCGGGUUGUAAAGUACUUUCAGCGGGGAGACGUUACCCGCAGAAGAAGCACCGGCUAACUCCGUGCCAGCCGCCGCGGUAAUAC
rnacentral:rRNA from 1 species